UACGAAGGGUGCAAGCGUCACUCGGAAUUACUGGGCGUAAAGCGUGAGUAGGUGGUUUCUUAAGUCUGCUGUGAAAGCCCCGGGCUCAACCUGGGAAUUGCAGUGGAUACUGGGAAGCUAGAGUGCGGUAGAGGGUAGUGGAAUUCCCGGUGUAGCGGUGAAAUGCGUAGAGAUCGGGAGGAACACCAGUGGCGAAGGCGGCUACCUGGACCAGCACUGACACUGAGUCACGAAAGCGUGGGGAGCAAAC
rnacentral:rRNA from 1 species